AGAAAAACAGGCGGCGUAGCAGGUGGGCAGCACGUUGCCAUGAUGUGCCGUGGCCCGGCCGUGGCUGGCGUGAUCCCACCAGAGUGAGCUGGAGCAGAUCUGCACCAUGGGCCAAGUUUCUCAGAAAAUACAUGGCUUCCUGCGGGCUGCAGCCUAAUGCCCACGUUCCUCUCGGGGCAGACCGAAGGUUAUUCAACCAGGGCAAAGGACAGCCUUGCAAACCAACUACGUCCUCCUUCUGGAGUUUGUGUGACCCCUGGCCCCUGAGCCCACACCCUCUCGGAGCGGGGUUCCAACUCCGUGGAAGCUCUGCUGAGAUGCAGGUCCCUCCCUCGACACCUGGGGAUUACAAUUAGAGAUGCGAUUUGGAUGGGGACACCGAGAGAAACCAUGACAGGGGCUCUCCAGAGAAGCAGCCCAGCCUUGGGCAACUUAGUUCUCCCAUCUGACCAUCCAACCCAAUAAGGCUGCUGACUCACAUAGGACCAGGUUUCAGAUAUUCUCCACUAACUAGGAAGAUGAUUUUGCUUUCAGACCACACAGACACUCAUCGCCCCUCUUGCCACCCAUCCUU
rnacentral:lncRNA from 1 species